rnacentral:sRNA from 1 species
UUAUUUAUUUGACUUGUUUGCAUCCCUGAACUAGAAUGUAAGCUCUGUGAGGGCAAGGCCUUCCUCUGUCUCAUUUCCCUGCUGUAUCCCCAGUACCUGGAAUAGUGCUUGGUGUGUAGCAGGCACUCAAUAAACUGUGGAAAGGAUGAAGACGUCCCCAGUUGGGGCUGGGGAGGGCGACCAGCUGGCCUGUGCCGUAGCCGGUCACAGCACAUCAUGCUCUGUUGCAGGUCACUGCAAGGGGAUGCUGCACCCCCUCAAGGUGAGGCCUCUCCCUCUGGGGCCCCUCCUUUCUGCCUGGUUGGGGGCAGGAGGCUCAGUGGGGUGGGGAUAGGGCCCAGACACAGCCUUACACAAACACAGCCUUUGAGCUUCACGCACCAACCGAGCCCUGGGCACACAUGCCCGGCCAGCACAGUCCUGUCCACUGAGGCACCAACCCAAGCCCAGGCCUCCGACUGCAGAGUAACGGGCAGGUAUUCCGUGCAGGUGAAGAGCUGAUUGAGGCUGCUAAGAGGAACGACUUCUGUAAGGUACUAGCUCCAGGCUCCAGUUCCUUCCCCCAGCAGUUCCCUCGGGCCCUGGGGAGCGAGGCCUCUGGGUUGGGCCAAGAGCUGACCUGCUCAGGUGCUGUCAUCUGUCAUCGUCUGGCCCUCUGUGGGAUCUCCAGUGAUCGUCCCAUUCCACUUUGCCGUAUCUCUGUCUAGGCCACAAUAGAUGGCUCCUAGUAGGGGCUUCCUAGCUCAGUCCACCUGUCCCUGGUGCUUAGAAAGGAGCAGGUCAGAGGAAGCACUGCUCCAGGGCUUGGUCACCAGUGCUGCCAGAGAGCCCCACAGGCUGUGGGGUGAGAGGCCCCUCCUCUGGUGCUCCAGAGAGACCCACAGAGGCAACUCGGGAGUAAGAUGUGUGAGCGCACUCGUUUCAGGCCUGUGCUGGUGUACCCAGCUGUGGGCCAGCGUGUGAGCUCGGGGAAGGAGGGGUGGCUCCAGGAGGUCCAGCCCUGCCAUGCCUCCUGCUCUCAGCUCCAGGAGCUGCACCGAGCUGGGGGCGACCUCAUGCACCGAGACGAGCAGAGCCGCACGCUCCUGCACCACGCAGUCAGCACUGGCAGCAAGGAUGUGGUCCGCUACCUGCUGGACCACGCCCCUCCAGAGAUCCUUGAUGCGGUGGAGGAAAACGGGGAGACCUGUUUGCACCAGGCAGCAGCCCUGGGCCAGCGCACCAUCUGCCACUACAUCGUGGAGGCCGGGGCCUCGCUCAUGAAGACAGACCAGCAGGGCGACACUCCCCGGCAGCGGGCUGAGAAGGCUCAGGACACCGAGCUGGCCGCCUACCUGGAGAACCGGCAGCACUACCAGAUGAUCCAGCGGGAGGACCAGGAGACGGCUGUGUAGCGGGCCGCCCACGGGCAGCAGGAGGGACAAUGUGGCCAGGGGACGAGCGCCUUCCUUGCCCACCUCACUGCCACAUUCCAGUGGGACGGCCACGGGGGGACCUAGGCCCCAGGGAAAGAGCCCCGUGCCGCCCCCUAAGGAGCCGCCCAGACCUAGGGCUGGACUCAGGAGCUGGGGGCCUCACCUGUCCCCCUGAGGCCCCCGCCCGACCCGGAGGCUCACAGGGAACAGGACACGGCUGGGUUGGAUAUGCCUUCGCGGGGGGUUCUGGGGCAGGGCGCUCCCUGGCCGCAGCAGAUGCCCUCCCAGGAGUGGAGGGGCUGGAGAGGAGGAGGCCUUCGGGAAGAGGCUUCCUGGGCCCCCUGGUCUUCGGCCGGGUCCCCAGCCCCCGCUCCUGCCCCACCCCACCUCCCCCGGGCUUCCUCCCGGAAACUCAGCGCCUGCUGCACUUGCCCGCCCUGCCUUGCUUGGCACCCGCUCCGGCGACCCUCCCCGCUCCCCCGUCAUUUCAUCGCGGACUGUGCGGCCUGGGGGUGGGGGGCGGGACUCUCACGGUGACAUGUUUACAGCUGGGUGUGACUCAGUAAAGUGGAUCUUUUUUC